AUUGAACGCUGGCGGCAUGCUUUACACAUGCAAGUCGAACGGCAGCGCGGGGCAACCUGGCGGCGAGUGGCGAACGGGUGAGUAAUACAUCGGAACGUACCCAGAAGUGGGGGAUAACGUAGCGAAAGUUACGCUAAUACCGCAUACGUUCUACGGAAGAAAGUGGGGGACCCUCGGGCCUCAUGUCUUUGGAGCGGCCGAUGUCUGAUUAGCUAGUUGGUGAGGUAAAGGCUCACCAAGGCGACGAUCAGUAGCUGGUCUGAGAGGACGACCAGCCACACUGGGACUGAGACACGGCCCAGACUCCUACGGGAGGCAGCAGUGGGGAAUUUUGGACAAUGGGCGCAAGCCUGAUCCAGCAAUGCCGCGUGAGUGAAGAAGGCCUUCGGGUUGUAAAGCUCUUUUGUCAGGGAAGAAACGGCUGAGGUUAAUACCUUCGGCUAAUGACGGUACCUGAAGAAUAAGCACCGGCUAACUACGUGCCAGCAGCCGCCGUAAUAC
rnacentral:rRNA from 1 species